UGCUCUUGCUAAGAUACAUUCUUAUCCCUGACGGUUAAGAUAAAAGCGCUCCUCAGACUUCAGCUGUGGGCUUCAGCCAAGGGGCACUGAAAGGGGUGCUCAGGAGUGGAGGUGUCCUUGGUCAAGAUCUGUGUGUGUGUCUGUUUAGGAAAGGCCUCUGCCAGCUGAGCUGAAAUAACAAAAUCAUCUCCAUUUCCCUCAUUUUGAGGGAAGCACUGCUAAAGUAUCUUAAACAACCAAAAUCUCUGACCACAAGACCCACUACUUUGCUCUCCUCUUCUGAGUGUUGAAGGAAGCAAGGACCAAUUGCCUCUUCUUUUUGAGAUGACCAACAUCAUUGGUUUGUUUCUAGGAAGCCAAACCUGAAAUAGGAGCAGAACCCUUUCCUGUCACUGAGGCAGACUUCCCAGUCACUGUAAACCCUUUCUGUAGGGGGCAAGCCCCAGAUAAAGGGUUUUCCAGUCUUCAAAAUGGCCUGCCAAAUACCAUUCGUGUACCUUAUCCAGCAGUUUUCAAGCUGCCUACUAUGUACAGAUCCUCCUGAACUGACAGGCUCCAGAUUUUUCCAGUCGGUUUAAGCCUCUGCCAUGUCCAGAGAAGGAGCUGCUUUGCCCAAACAGGUCCCAAAGCAGACAAGUGAAACUGUUUUCCUUAUAUGGUGAAAAGCGCCCUGUCGCUUUAAGGCCAAGAGAUUUGGCUGCAGAUGGUCCCUGGGAAGUUUGCAGGCAGCCCCAUCCUGUGUCUGCUCCUCUCCUCGCAGCUGUGCAGGAUUACCGAGAGGAUGGGAUGGAUCUAGGCAGUGACGCCGGCAGCAGCAGCAGCAACAGCAGCCGCGCCAGUUCGCAGUCCAACUCCACCAAAGUGACCCCUUGCUCCGAGUGCAAAUCCUCAUCGUCGCCGGGGGGCAGCCUGGACUUGGUGUCUGCCCUGGAGGACUAUGAGGAGCCCUUCCCGGUCUACCAGAAGAAGGUGAUUGAUGAGUGGGCGCCGGAGGAGGACGGAGAGGAGAAGGAAGAGGAGGACGGACGCCACGAGCGAGGGUACAGGCAUGACCGCUGUCCGGCCCGGGAGCCGGGGGACGUGAGCGCCGGGACCCGCAGCGGCGGGGGCAGGAGCGCCACCACCGCCAUGCCGCCCCCGGUACCCAACGGCAACCUCCACCCGCACGAGCUCCAGGACCUCAGGCACAAUGGCAACGUGGUGGUGGCCGGCCGGCCGAGCGGCUCCCGGGCCCCGCGCCGGGCGGUCCAGAAGCCCCAGCCGGCAGGGGGCCGGCGCGGCGGCCGGGGCCCGGCGGCCGGGGGCCUCUGCCUUCAGCCCACGGACAGCGGGACGUGCGUCCCCGAGGAGCCCCCGGUUCCCCCUAUGGACUGGGAGGCGCUGGAGAAGCAUCUGGCUGGGUUGCAGUUCCGGGAGCAGGAGGUGCGGAACCAAGGCCAGACGAGGACCAACUCCACCUCCAUGACCUGUCUGAGAACCAGUGCAAAGUCGGUAAGAAAGUGGCUCCUCUGUGCUGGGUACCUCUGGUGGCCAGAGUCCCUGCUAGGUUCCCUCAUGGACCACUUGGUGAUGAAGAGCUGAGGACAGGCACUCUCCCAGCCAGCUAGCUGUGGUCAGGGCCCACCUGCUCACUAGUAUGCUGUAGACAUGUCCCGAACAAAAUAACAGGUAGGUUGUAGCAGCUUCUUGAUUCUGUAACUUGAUUCUGUUUCCCUCUUUGUUUGCCAUACAUGGAAAGAACUUUGCUGUCUAAAAAAAUUUAAAGGGAAU
ensembl:lincRNA